UACGUAGGGUGCGAGCGUUAAUCGGAAUUACUGGGCGUAAAGCGUGCGCAGGCGGUUCGCUGUGUCCGAUGUGAAAGCCCCGGGCUCAACCUGGGAAUUGCAUUCGAUACUGGAUAGCUAGAGUUCGGCAGAGGGAAGUGGAAUUUCUGGUGUAGCGGUGAAAUGCGUAGAUAUCAGAAGGAACAUCAGUGGCGAAAGCGACUUCCUGGACCAGAACUGACGAUCAGGCACGAAAGCGUGGGGAGCAAACAGG
rnacentral:rRNA from 1 species